UACGUAGGUGGCAAGCGUUGUCCGGAUUUACUGGGCGUAAAGAGCGCGCAGGCGGUCGUUCAAGUCUGGUGUGAAAGCCCCCGGCUCAACUGGGGAGGGUCACGCGAUACUGAUCGACUCGAAGGCAGGAGAGGGAAGUGGAAUUCCCGGUGUAGUGGUGAAAUGCGUAGAUAUCGGGAGGAACACCAGUGGCGAAGGCGACUUCCUGGCCUGUUCUUGACGCUGAGGCGCGAAAGCUAGGGGAGCAAACGGG
rnacentral:rRNA from 1 species